rnacentral:rRNA from 1 species
UAAGCGUACACGGUGGAUGCCCUGGCAGUCAGAGGCGAUGAAGGACGUGCUAAUCUGCGAUAAGCGUCGGUAAGGUGAUAUGAACCGUUAUAACCGGCGAUUUCCGAAUGGGGAAACCCAGUGUGAUUCGUCACACUAUCAUUAACUGAAUCCAUAGGUUAAUGAGGCGAACCGGGGGAACUGAAACAUCUAAGUACCCCGAGGAAAAGAAAUCAACCGAGAUUCCCCCAGUAGCGGCGAGCGAACGGGGAGGAGCCCAGAGCCUGAAUCAGUGUGUGUGUUAGUGGAAGCGUCUGGAAAGGCGCGCGAUACAGGGUGACAGCCCCGUACACAAAAAUGCACAUGCUGUGAGCUCGAUGAGUAGGGCGGGACACGUGGUAUCCUGUCUGAAUAUGGGGGGACCAUCCUCCAAGGCUAAAUACUCCUGACUGACCGAUAGUGAACCAGUACCGUGAGGGAAAGGCGAAAAGAACCCCGGCGAGGGGAGUGAAAAAGAACCUGAAACCGUGUACGUACAAGCAGUGGGAGCACAGAGCAAUCUGUGUGACUGCGUACCUUUUGUAUAAUGGGUCAGCGACUUAUAUUCUGUAGCAAGGUUAACCGAAUAGGGGAGCCGAAGGGAAACCGAGUCUUAACUGGGCGUUAAGUUGCAGGGUAUAGACCCGAAACCCGGUGAUCUAGCCAUGGGCAGGUUGAAGGUUGGGUAACACUAACUGGAGGACCGAACCGACUAAUGUUGAAAAAUUAGCGGAUGACUUGUGGCUGGGGGUGAAAGGCCAAUCAAACCGGGAGAUAGCUGGUUCUCCCCGAAAGCUAUUUAGGUAGCGCCU